rnacentral:lncRNA from 1 species
AGGACACGUGCUUUGAUUCGCUAAGAACAUUAAGUGGCUCACAGUCCUAGAGCUCAAUUUACAAAGAAGAAUCGGUAGUUUUCUGAGAAGUAGUGGUGUGGCCGGCUUGGAGAAAUUACGAAGUCAAGUCCAUUUCUCCUUCCAUUUUGCCGGUGAGUUUUCCUUCCACUUUCGCUGGUGCUGGUGCUGGGCCAGUCUUUAGGACACAUAAGCAGGAAAUUCUGCAAAAGUGGCCCCUGGGGAUCCCUUUUUGACUCCCUUUUGUCGCUAAGCCGGGACUGUCUCUGGAAAUUUGAGACUGGGCCUUAGCCUGGAUUUGUUGCUGCUCCCCUUGCUACUGCUGACACUUGGCACCACAGUCCAAACAGACGCAGAGCGGGUCCCACGCCAUCUGAAGGAGCCCGGACAGUGUCACCCUCUCCACGGUGCUGGCCGGCCUGCCACCCACGCAGGGGAGCCUGGGCCUGCGCCCCUCUUCCGCACCCGCCCGCCGCAGGUGAGACCCUCGCUCCCCACCGAGUUCUGUUUGGGUUUCCGUGGCGCUUGUUCCCCGCAGGUUUGUUUGUUUUUCUUCAAAUUACAGAUGCGGGGAAAACCGCCUGACAUCAUGAGAGCAGGACAAACUCACUUUGAAGGAUUCCUGGGCAGGACUUCAAGUGAAAUCAUAUGCCUGAGAAGAACUUGAUACCGGUCUAGAGAAAAUAACUAGUUCUGACUUUGCCAAACCGUGGAAUGUGCAAAAUGCUCUACUUUUGUGCAAGGGGCCAAGUGUCCCUUAAAAAGCUCCAUUAUGAACGCGAAGGGGCAAGAAGCUGGUGCCGUUGUUGAACGUGGGGGAGAAGUACAAAAGGCGUGUGAGUUUCCGCUACUUGACGUUAUUUUAUUAGCAGUCUGUUCCACUUUGGGGAGGGUAUCUGCACCUGUGCAUGAACGAUUAUCUCUGCCUGUGCUCAGCGAGUAUAUGCACGCAACGGGGAAAUAUAUGGGGACAAAACAUUUACUGCUUUCUUGCCACUGAAGGCUAUCAAUCAAAAAAUGAAAAACAAAAGUAGUUAUUUGCACAGUAAAGGCAACAACGCAGUCAACAUUUUAGAAUUCAUCCAAGCCCCUAUAAUGGAAUACUUUCUGCUAGCAAAUGCAUUCUGGUUGAAAGGCGAAGCUGAAUCCAGCCACCUAACUAAAUGGAAAGAUUUAUUUUC